rnacentral:rRNA from 1 species
GACGUAGGGGGCCAGCGUUGUUCGGAAUUACUGGGUGUAAAGGGUUCGUAGGCGGUGCGGCAAGUCGGGAGUGAAAUCUCUGGGCUUAACCCAGAGGCUGCUUCCGAAACUGCUGUGCUUGAGUGUGGGAGAGGCGCGUGGAAUUGCAGGUGUAGCGGUGAAAUGCGUAGAUAUCGGGAGGAACACCUGUGGCGAAAGCGGCGCACUGGACCACAACUGACGCUGAGGCGCGAAAGCUAGGGGAGCAAACAGG